AGGGUUCGAUUCUGGCUCAGGAUGAACGCUGGCGGCGUGCUUAACACAUGCAAGUUGCGCGGUGAUCUCAAGAAGUUUCGGACGGAAAGGGAGAGCAGCAGCGGACGGGUGAGUAAAGCACAAGGACUUGUCCCGAAGAGGGGGACAACUGUGGGAAACCACAGCUAAUACCCCAUAAGCCGAGAGGUGAAAGCAGUAAUGCGCUUUAGGAGAGACUUGUGUCCUAUCAGGUAGUUGGUGAGGUAACGGCUCACCAAGCCGAAGACGGGUAGCCGGACUGAGAGGUUGUACGGCCACAUUGGAACUGAGAGACGGUCCAGACUCCUACGGGAGGCAGCAGUGGGGAAUAUUGGGCAAUGGGGGCAACCCUGACCCAGCGACGCCGCGUGAGGGAAGACAGCCUUCGGGUUGUAAACCUCUGUUGCAGGGGAAGAAGAAAGUGACGGUACCCUGCGAGGAAGCUCCGGCAAACUACGUGCCAGCCGCCGC
rnacentral:rRNA from 1 species